UACUCAUGAGAUCUAGACAGCAUGCAAGUCGAACGAUAACUCGAAGCUUGCUUCGAGGGACAGUGGCAAACGGGUGAGUAACACGUGGGUAACCUGCCUUCGGAUGGGGGAUAGCUCUAGGAAACUAGUGGUAAUACCGCAUAAUACCGAUUGGUCAUAAGACCGCUCGGUCAAAGACGCUUUCGGGCGUCACCUGAAGAUGGGCCCGCGCACUAUUAGCUAGUUGGUAGGGUAAUGGCCUACCAAGGCAACGAUGGUUAGCCGGCCUGAGAGGGUGUACGGCCACAUUGGGACUGAGAUACGGCCCAGACUCCUACGGGAGGCAGCAGCUAAGAAUAUUCCGCAAUGGACGCAAGCCUGACGGAGCGACGCCGCGUGGAGGAUGAAGGCUUUCGGGUUGUAAACUCCUUUUCUUAGGGAAGAAUAAAGUCGGCAGGAAAUGGUCGACCGAUGACGGUACCUAAGGAAUAAGCCCCGGCUAAUUACGUGCCAGCAGCCGCGGUAAUACGUAUGGGGCAAGCGUUGUUCGGAUUCACUGGGCGUAAAGGGCGUGUAGGCGGCGUGGUAAGUCGGAUGUGAAAUCUCCAGGCUCAACCUGGAAACUGCAUUCGAAACUGCCAUGCUUGAGUACCGGAAGAGGGAAACGGGAAUUCCUGGUGUAGGGGUGAAAUAUGUAAGUAUCAGGAAGAACUCCGGUCGUGAUGGCGGUUUGAUGACCGGAUUAUGACGCUGAGGCGCGAAAGCUAGGGGAGCAUACAGGAAAAGAUACCCUGGUAGUCCUAGCUGUAAACGUUGUGCACUAGGUGUAAGUGGUUUCAACCCACUUGUGCAGUAGCAAAAGCAUUAAGUGCACCGACUGGGGAGUAUGCUCGCAAGGGUGAAACUCAAAGGAAUUGACGGGGGCCCGCACAAGCGGUGGAGCAUGUGGUUUAAUUCGAUGAUACGCGAAGAACCUUACCAGGGUUUGACAUGCAGUCGACGGGAGCAGAGAUGUUCCUUUGCUACGGGAUCGGUGCACAGGUGCUGCAUGGCUGACGUCAGACCGUGCUCCGUCGACCUAUUAUAAUUAAUGAACUUAAGUAUUUUUCUAUUUUAUUGU
rnacentral:rRNA from 1 species